GCCCCCUUAGUUAAAUGGAUAUAAUAAAUCCCUCCUAAGGAUUAGUUAUGCGUUCGAUUCGCGUAGGGGGUGCCA
rnacentral:tRNA from 1 species